rnacentral:rRNA from 1 species
AGAGUUUGAUCCUGGCUCAGGAUGAACGCUGGCGGCGUGCCUAAUACAUGCAAGUCGAGCGAACUGAUUAGAAGCUUGCUUCUAUGACGUUAGCGGCGGACGGGUGAGUAACACGUGGGCAACCUGCCUGUAAGACUGGGAUAACUUCGGGAAACCGAAGCUAAUACCGGAUAGGAUCUUCUCCUUCAUGGGAGAUGAUUGAAAGAUGGUUUCGGCUAUCACUUACAGAUGGGCCCGCGGUGCAUUAGCUAGUUGGUGAGGUAACGGCUCACCAAGGCAACGAUGCAUAGCCGACCUGAGAGGGUGAUCGGCCACACUGGGACUGAGACAGGGCCCAGACUCCUACGGGAGGCAGCAGUAGGGAAUCUUCCGCAAUGGACGAAAGUCUGACGGAGCAACGCCGCGUGAGUGAUGAAGGCUUUCGGGUCGUAAAACUCUGUUGUUAGGGAAGAACAAGUACGAGAGUAACUGCUCGUACCUUGACGGUACCUAACCAGAAAGCCACGGCUAACUACGUGCCAGCAGCCGCGGUAAUACGUAGGUGGCAAGCGUUAUCCGGAAUUAUUGGGCGUAAAGCGCGCGCAGGCGGUUUCUUAAGUCUGAUGUGAAAGCCCACGGCUCAACCCGUGG